UCCUUUGAGUACCGUGAGUACGGUUGGCCUUACUUCACCCUGGAGACAAGUUGACGCAAGAGCCAGAAGUACAUUUGAAAUUAAGGCAGCCUGAAACUGCUGUGUUAUCUGUUGAUGCUGUGGAGCAGUGGCAUUCCACCAGACGGCAAAUCGCUUUGGAUCAGCUCAACUGUGAUUUGGCACAAAAGGAGGGGUCCCUCCAGAUGCGGUUAGAAGUGGAACACAAUUUCCUGAAGGAAGUCAUUGAAGAGCCAGAGAGAAA